rnacentral:rRNA from 1 species
CAAAAACAUGUCUUUUUGAUUUUAAUUUAAAGUCUAAUCUGCCCACUGAAUAAUUUUAAAUGGCCGCGGUAUUUUGACCGUGCAAAGGUAGCAUAAUCAUUAGUUUUUUAAUUGAAAGCUUGUAUGAAUGAUUGAAUAAAAUAUUUAUUGUCUCAUAUUUAUUUAUGUUAAAAUUUAAUUUUUAAAUUAAAAAGUUUAAAUUUUAUUAUAGGACGAGAAGACCCUAUAGAUUUUUAUAAUUAGAAUUAUAAUUUAAAUUUAAUUUAUUUAUUUAAAUUUAUUUUUGAUUGUUUUGUUGGGGUGACAUUAAAAUUAAAUUAACUUUUAAUUUAAUUUAACAUUAAUUUAUGAAAUUUUAAUAUAUAAAUAAUUUAUAUUUAUUAUUAAUUUUUGAUCCUAUUUUUUAGAUUAGUAAAUUAAAAUACCUUA